AUGGAUUUAGGUGCAAAUUCAUUCAACGGUCUAGUUCCUGAGUUUUCAUCUUUGAAUAAGUUAGAGUACUUGAAUCUAACUUUUAGUGGAACAUCAUGGAAACUUCCAUGGAAAUCAUUGAAAAAUCUAACAGCAGCCUUGUUUGUUAUUGCUAUUUGGUUAACAAAGAUUCUGCGUAAUAAUAGAGAUGAAGACAAAUAA